rnacentral:rRNA from 1 species
UGGGGAAUAUUGCACAAUGGGCGCAAGCCUGAUGCAGCCAUGCCGCGUGUAUGAAGAAGGCCUUCGGGUUGUAAAGUACUUUCAGCGAGGAGGAAGGCAUUGUGGUUAAUAACCGCAGUGAUUGACGUUACUCGCAGAAGAAGCACCGGCUAACUCCGUGCCAGCAGCCGCGGUAAUACGGAGGGUGCAAGCGUUAAUCGGAAUUACUGGGCGUAAAGCGCACGCAGGCGGUUUGUUAAGUCAGAUGUGAAAUCCCCGGGCUCAACCUGGGAACUGCAUUUGAAACUGGCAAGCUUGAGUCUUGUAGAGGGGAGUAGAAUUCCAGGUGUAGCGGUGAAAUGCGUUAGAGAUCUGGAGGAAUACCGGUGGCGAAGGCGGCCCCCUGGACAAAGACUGACGCUCAGGUGCGAAAAGCGUGGGGAGCAAACA